GACGAACGCUGGCGGCGUGCUUAACACAUGCGAGUCGAACGGAAAGGCCCUGCUUUUGUGGGGUGCUCGAGUGGCGAACGGGUGAGUAACACGUGAGUAACCUGCCCUUGACUUUGGGAUAACUUCAGGAAACUGGGGCUAAUACCGGAUAGGAGCUCCUGCUGCAUGGUGGGGGUUGGAAAGUUUCGGCGGUUGGGGAUGGACUCGCGGCUUAUCAGCUUGUUGGUGGGGUAGUGGCUUACCAAGGCUUUGACGGGUAGCCGGCCUGAGAGGGUGACCGGCCACAUUGGGACUGAGAUACGGCCCAGACUCCUACGGGAGGCAGCAGUGGGGAAUAUUGCACAAUGGGCGGAAGCCUGAUGCAGCAACGCCGCGUGCGGGAUGACGGCCUUCGGGUUGUAAACCGCUUUCGCCUGCGACGAAGCGUGAGUGACGGUAAUGGGUAAAGAAGCACCGGCGAACUACGU
rnacentral:rRNA from 1 species